GACGAACGCUGGCGGCGUGCUUAACACAUGCAAGUCGAACGGAAAGGCCCUGCUUUUGUGGGGUGCUCGAGUGGCGAACGGGUGAGUAACACGUGAGUAACCUGCCCUUGACUUUGGGAUAACUUCAGGAAACUGGGGCUAAUACCGGAUAGGAGCUCCUGCUGCAUGGUGGGGGUUGGAAAGUUUCGGCGGUUGGGGAUGGACUCGCGGCUUAUCAGCUUGUUGGUGGGGUAGGGGCUUACCAAGGCUUUGACGGGUAGCCGGCCUGAGAGGGGGACCGGCCACCUUGGGACUGAGAUACGGCCCAGAAGCCUACGGGAGGCAGCAGUGGGGAAUAUUGCACAAUGGGCGGAAGCCUGAUGCAGCAACGCCGCGUGCGGGAUGACGGCCUUCGGGUUGUAAACCGCUUUCGCCUGUGACGAAGCGUGAGUGACGGUAAUGGGUAAAGAAGCACCGGCUAACUACGUG
rnacentral:rRNA from 1 species